rnacentral:rRNA from 1 species
UUUUAUGAGAGUUUGAUCCUGGCUCAGGACGAACGCUGGCGGCGUGCCUAAUACAUGCAAGUCGAACGCUUCUUUUUCCACCGGAGCUUGCUCCACCGGAAAAAGAGGAGUGGCGAACGGGUGAGUAACACGUGGGUAACCUGCCCAUCAGAAGGGGAUAACACUUGGAAACAGGUGCUAAUACCGUAUAACAAUCGAAACCGCAUGGUUUUGAUUUGAAAGGCGCUUUCGGGUGUCGCUGAUGGAUGGACCCGCGGUGCAUUAGCUAGUUGGUGAGGUAACGGCUCACCAAGGCCACGAUGCAUAGCCGACCUGAGAGGGUGAUCGGCCACAUUGGGACUGAGACACGGCCCAAACUCCUACGGGAGGCAGCAGUAGGGAAUCUUCGGCAAUGGACGAAAGUCUGACCGAGCAACGCCGCGUGAGUGAAGAAGGUUUUCGGAUCGUAAAACUCUGUUGUUAGAGAAGAACAAGGAUGAGAGUAACUGUUCAUCCCUUGACGGUAUCUAACCAGAAAGCCACGGCUAACUACGUGCCAGCAGCCGCGGUAAUACGUAGGUGGCAAGCGUUGUCCGGAUUUAUUGGGCGUAAAGCGAGCGCAGGCGGUUUCUUAAGUCUGAUGUGAAAGCCCCCGGCUCAACCGGGGAGGGUCAUUGGAAACUGGGAGACUUGAGUGCAGAAGAGGAGAGUGGAAUUCCAUGUGUAGCGGUGAAAUGCGUAGAUAUAUGGAGGAACACCAGUGGCGAAGGCGGCUCUCUGGUCUGUAACUGACGCUGAGGCUCGAAAGCGUGGGGAGCAAACAGGAUUAGAUACCCUGGUAGUCCACGCCGUAAACGAUGAGUGCUAAGUGUUGGAGGGUUUCCGCCCUUCAGUGCUGCAGCUAACGCAUUAAGCACUCCGCCUGGGGAGUACGACCGCAAGGUUGAAACUCAAAGGAAUUGACGGGGGCCCGCACAAGCGGUGGAGCAUGUGGUUUAAUUCGAAGCAACGCGAAGAACCUUACCAGGUCUUGACAUCCUUUGACCACUCUAGAGAUAGAGCUUCCCCUUCGGGGGCAAAGUGACAGGUGGUGCAUGGUUGUCGUCAGCUCGUGUCGUGAGAUGUUGGGUUAAGUCCCGCAACGAGCGCAACCCUUAUUGUUAGUUGCCAUCAUUCAGUUGGGCACUCUAGCAAGACUGCCGGUGACAAACCGGAGGAAGGUGGGGAUGACGUCAAAUCAUCAUGCCCCUUAUGACCUGGGCUACACACGUGCUACAAUGGGAAGUACAACGAGUCGCGAAGUCGCGAGGCUAAGCUAAUCUCUUAAAGCUUCUCUCAGUUCGGAUUGCAGGCUGCAACUCGCCUGCAUGAAGCCGGAAUCGCUAGUAAUCGCGGAUCAGCACGCCGCGGUGAAUACGUUCCCGGGCCUUGUACACACCGCCCGUCACACCACGAGAGUUUGUAACACCCGAAGUCGGUGAGGUAACCUUUGGAGCCAGCCGCCUAAGGUGGGAUAGAUGAUUGGGGUGAAGUCGUAACAAGGUAGCCGUAUCGGAAGGUGCGGCUGGAUCACCUCCUUUCUAAGGAA